rnacentral:rRNA from 1 species
GUGGGGAAUUUUGGACAAUGGGGGCAACCCUGAUCCAGCCAUGCCGCGUGAGUGAAGAAGGCCUUCGGGUUGUAAAGCUCUUUUGGCCGGGGAGAAAAGGUCGCGGAUAACACCUGCGGCUCUUGACGGUACCGGCAGAAUAAGCACCGGCUAACUACGUGCCAGCAGCCGCGGUAAUACGUAGGGUGCGAGCGUUAAUCGGAAUUACUGGGCGUAAAGCGUGCGCAGGCGGUUCGUUAUGUCCGUCGUGAAAGCCCCGGGCUCAACCUGGGAAUGGCGAUGGAAACUGGCGGGCUGGAGUGUGGCAGAGGGGGGUGGAAUUCCGCGUGUAGCAGUGAAAUGCGUAGAGAUGCGGAGGAACACCGAUGGCGAAGGCAGCCCCCUGGGCUGACACUGACGCUCAGGCACGAAAGCGUGGGGAGCAAACAGGAUUAGAAACCCCAGUAGUCC